ACACAUGCAAGUCGAGGGGCAGCAUGGUCUUAGCUUGCUAAGGCCGAUGGCGACCGGCGCACGGGUGAGUAACACGUAUCCAACCUGCCGUCUACUCUUGGACAGCCUUCUGAAAGGAAGAUUAAUACAAGAUGGCAUCAUGAGUCCGCAUGUUCACAUGAUUAAAGGUAUUCCGGUAGACGAUGGGGAUGCGUUCCAUUAGAUAGUAGGCGGGGUAACGGCCCACCUAGUCUUCGAUGGAUAGGGGUUCUGAGAGGAAGGUCCCCCACAUUGGAACUGAGACACGGUCCAAACUCCUACGGGAGGCAGCAGUGAGGAAUAUUGGUCAAUGGGCGAGAGCCUGAACCAGCCAAGUAGCGUGAAGGAUGACUGCCCUAUGGGUUGUAAACUUCUUUUAUAAAGGAAUAAAGUCGGGUAUGGAUACCCGUUUGCAUGUACUUUAUGAAUAAGGAUCGGCUAACUCCGUGCCAGCAGCCGCGGUAAUACGGAGGAUCCGAGCGUUAUCCGGAUUUAUUGGGUUUAAAGGGAGCGUAGAUGGAUGUUUAAGUCAGUUGUGAAAGUUUGCGGCUCAACCGUAAAAUUGCAGUUGAUACUGGAUAUCUUGAGUGCAGUUGAGGCAGGCGGAAUUCGUGGUGUAGCGGUGAAAUGCUUAGAUAUCGCGAAGAACUCCAAUUGCGAAGGCAGCCUGCUAAGCUGCAACUGACAUUGAGGCUCGAAAGUGUGGGUAUCAAACAGGAUUA
rnacentral:rRNA from 1 species